rnacentral:rRNA from 1 species
CAGCCGCCGCGGUAACACCGGCAGCUCUAGUGGUAACAAUUUUAUGGGCCUAAAGCGUCCGUAGCCGGUUUAAUAAGUCUCUGGUGAAAUCCUGCAGCUUAACUGUGGGAAUUGCUGGAGAUACUAUUAGACUUGAGACCGGGAGAGGUUAGAGGUACUCCCAGGGUAGAGGUGAAAUUCUGUAAUCCUGGGAGGACCGCCUGUUGCGAAGGCGUCUAACUGGAACGGUUCUGACGGUGAGGGACGAAAGUUAGGGGCGCGAACCGGAUUAGAUACCCGGGUAGUCCUAACUGUAAACGAUGCGGACUUGGUGUUGGGGUGGCUUUGAGCUGCUUCAGUGCCGAAGGGAAGCUGUUAAGUCCGCCGCCUGGGAAGUACGGUCGCAAGACUGAAACUUAAGGAAUUGGCGGGGGAGCACCACAACGCGUGGAGCCUGCCGGUUUAAUUGGAUUCAACGCCGGACAUCUCACCAGAGGCGACAGCUGUAUGAUAGCCAGGUUGAUGACUUUGCUUGACUAGCUGAGUAGUGGUGCAUGG